AUCUAAGUAGCUCAGAGGUAGAGCAAAAGACUGAAAAUCUUUGUGUCAGAAGUUCAAUUCUUCUCUUAGAUA
rnacentral:tRNA from 1 species